rnacentral:misc_RNA from 1 species
GAUGAAGAACGUAGCGAAAUGCGAUAAGUAAUGUGAAUUGCAGAAUUCAGUGAAUCAUCGAAUCUUUGAACGCACCUUGCGCCCUUUGGCCAUUCCGAAGGGCAUGCCUGUUUGAGUAUCAUGAACACCUCAACUCUUCAUGGUUUUCCAUGAUGAGCUUGGACUUUGGGGGUCUUGCUGGCCUGUGGGUCGGCUCCUCUCAAAUGAAUCAGCUUGCCGGUUUUUGGUGGGCAUCACAGGUGUGAUAACUAUCUACGCUUGUGGUUUUCCACCAGGUAACCUUCAGCAGUGGAGGUUCGCUGGAGCUCAUAGAUGUCUCUCCUCAGUGAGGACAGCCCUUUGAACGUUUGAUCUCAAAUCAGGUAGGACUACCCGCUGAACUUAAGCAUAUCAAUAAGCGGAGGA